rnacentral:rRNA from 1 species
GUUCCUAAGGUGUAAGUGCCGCUCGUGGCUUGUCACCUAUAGAUGAUCCUGCUCUGCAUUAGCUAAUUUGUAAGGUUACUGCUUACCAAGGCAACCGAUGCAUUAGCCGGACCUGAGAGGGUGAUCGGCCACACUGGAACUGAGACACGGUCCAGACUCCUACGGGAGGCAGCAGUAGGGAAUCUUCCGCAAUGGGGCGUAAGCCUGACGGAGCACGCCGCGUGAUGAUGAAGGUUCUUCGGAUCGUAAACUCUGUUAUUAGGGAAGACAUAUGUGUAAGUAACUGUGCACAUCUUGACGGUACCUAAUCAGAAAGCCACGGCUAACUACGUGCCAGCAGCCGCGGUAAUACGUAGGUGGCAAGCGUUAUCCGGAAUUAUUGGGCGUAAAGCGCGCGUAGGCGGUUUUUUAAGUCUGAUGUGAAAGCCCACGGCUCAACCGUGGAGGGUCAUUGGAAACUGGAAAACUUGAGUGCAGAAGAGGAAAGUGGAAUUCCAUGUGUAGCGGUGAAAUGCGCAGAGAUAUGGAGGAACACCAGUGGCGAAGGCGACUUUCUGGUCUGUAACUGACGCUGAUGUGCGAAAGCGUGGGGAUCAAACAGGAUUAGAUACCCUGGUAGUCCACGCCGUAAACGAUGAGUGCUCAAGUGUUAGGGGGUUUCCGCCCGCUUAGUGCUGCAGCUAACGCAUUAAGCACUCCGCCUGGGG